rnacentral:rRNA from 1 species
UUUCCGGUUGAUCCUGCCAGACCUGACUGCUAUCGGAUUGAUACUAAGCCAUGCGAGUCGUUGUAGCAAUACAAGGCAUACGGCUCAGUAACGCGUAGUCAACCUAACCUAUGGACGGGAAUAACCUCGGGAAACUGAGAAUAAUGCCCGAUAGAACAUUAUGCCUGGAAUGGUUUAUGUUCCAAAUGAUUUAUCGCCAUAGGAUGGGACUGCGGCCUAUCAGUUUGUUGGUGAGGUAAUGGCCCACCAAGACUAUUACAGGUACGGGCUCUGAGAGGAGUAGCCCGGAGAUGGGUACUGAGACACGGACCCAGGCCCUAUGGGGCGCAGCAGGCGAGAAAACUUUGCAAUGUGCGAAAGCACGACAAGGUUAAUCCGAGUGAUUUCUGCUAAAGAGAUCUUUUGUUAGUCCUAGAAACACUAACGAAUAAGGGGUGGGCAAGUUCUGGUGUCAGCCGCCGCGGUAAAACCAGCACCUCAAGUGGUCAGGAUGAUUAUUGGGCCUAAAGCAUCCGUAGCCGGCUCUGUAAGUUUUCGGUUAAAUCUGUACGCUCAACGUACAGGCUGCCGGAAAUACUGCAGAACUAGGGAGUGGGAGAGGUAGACGGUACUCGGUAGGAAGUGGUAAAAUGCUUUGAUCUAUCGAUGACCACCUGUGGCGAAGGCGGUCUACCAGAACACGUCCGACGGUGAGGGAUGAAAGCUGGGGGAGCAAACCGGAUUAGAUACCCGGGUAGUCCCAGCUGUAAACUAUGCAAACUCAGUGAUGCAUUGGCUUGUGGCCAAUGCAGUGCUGCAGGGAAGCCGUUAAGUUUGCCGCCUGGGAAGUACGUACGCAAGUAUGAAACUUAAAGGAAUUGGCGGGGGAGCACCACAAGGGGUGAAGCCUGCGGUUCAAUUGGAUUCAACGCCGGG